rnacentral:rRNA from 1 species
ACGGACCGCCGAUGGGGAAACCACGUCACGAGGACGGAUCCGNCAGUGAGGGACGAAAGCUAGGGUCUCGAACCGGAUUAGAUACCCGGGUAGUCCUAGCCGUAAACGAUGCCUGUUAGGUGUGACUCCCACUACGAGUGGGUGUUGUGCCGUAGGGAAGCCGCUAAACAGGCCGCCUGGGAAGUACGUCCGCAAGGAUGAAACUUAAAGGAAUUGNCGGGGGAGCACUACAACCGGAGGAGCCUGCGGUUUAAUUGGACUCAACGCCGGACAUCUCACCAGCAUCGACUGUAGUAAUGACGAUCAGGUUGAUGACCUUAUCCGAGCUUCAGAGAGGAGGUGCAUGGCCGCCGUCAGCUCGUACCGUGAGGCGUCCUGUUAAGUCAGGCAACGAGCGAGACCCGCAUCCUUACUUGCCAGCAGCAUCGCGAGAUGGCUGGGGACAGUAGGGAGACCGCCGCUGCUAAAGCGGAGGAAGGAACGGGCAACGGUAGGUCAGUAUGCCCCGAAUGUGCUGGGCAACACGCGGGCUACAAUGGCCGAGACAGAGGGUUCCAACCCCGAGAGGGGACGGUAAUCUCAGAAACUCGGU